UUGAACGCUGGCGGCAUGCUUUACCCAUGCCAGUCGAACGGUAACAGGCCUUCGGGUGCUGACGAGUGGCGAACGGGUGAGUAAUGCAUCGGAACGUGCCCAGAGGUGGGGGAUAACGCAGCGAAAGCUGUGCUAAUACCGCAUGUGAUCUGAGGAUGAAAGCGGGGGACCAAGCAGCAAUGUUUGGCCUCGCGCCUCUGGAGCGGCCGAUGUCAGAUUAGGUAGUUGGUGGGGUAAAGGCCUACCAAGCCGACGAUCUGUAGCUGGUCUGAGAGGACGACCAGCCACACUGGGACUGAGACACGGCCCAGACUCCUACGGGAGGCAGCAGUGGGGAAUUUUGGACAAUGGGCGCAAGCCUGAUCCAGCAAUGCCGCGUGCGGGAAGAAGGCCUUCGGGUUGUAAACCGCUUUUGUACGGAACGAAAAGGCUCUGGCUAAUACCUGGGGCUGAUGACGGUACCGUAAGAAUAAGCACCGGCUAACUACGUG
rnacentral:rRNA from 1 species